rnacentral:rRNA from 1 species
AUAGCGUAUAUUAAAGUUGUUGCAGUUAAAAAGCUCGUAGUUGGAUUUCUGGGAGGGUGCCAAUGUCCGCUUGUUAGCGUGUGCAGCGGCGCCCUUCCAUCCUUCUGUUAACGUUUCUUGGUAUUUGUUUACUGGUUUCGGGCUCAGAUAUUUUACCUUGAGAAAAUUAGAGUGUUCAAAGCAGGCCUAUGCCCGAAUACAUUAGCAUGGAAUAAUAAAAUAGGACGUGCGGUUCUAUUUUGUUGGUUUCUAGAGUCGCCGUAAUGAUUAAUAGGGAUAGUUGGGGGCAUUAGUAUUCAGUUGCUAGAGGUGAAAUUCUUGGAUUUACUGAAGACUAACUACUG